rnacentral:rRNA from 1 species
UACGUAGGGUGCAAGCGUUGUCCGGAAUUAUUGGGCGUAAAGAGCUCGUAGGCGGUUUGUCGCGUCUGCUGUGAAAACUCGGGGCUUAACUCCGGGCCUGCAGUGGGUACGGGCAGACUAGAGUGUGGUAGGGGAGACUGGAAUUCCUGGUGUAGCGGUGAAAUGCGCAGAUAUCAGGAGGAACACCGAUGGCGAAGGCAGGUCUCUGGGCCACUACUGACGCUGAGAAGCGAAAGCAUGGGGAGCGAACAGG